AAAUAUUUCAAAAUUGUAAGGAAUCACAUAAUAAAUCAGAGUAAGUAUUGAAACUCCUUUGCAUAAUAAAUAAUUUAAACUAAUAAACUGACUAUCCUUAUCAUACAAAUAGCACAACUCAAACAGUUGGAUCAAACUUUUUAAGGAACCAUAUAAAACAUCAUAGUAAGUAUAAAUAAAUAAAUAUAUUUAACUAAGUAACUGACUAUUUUUUUAUAAUGUCUUGGUCACUCAUGUGAGUGAAUUUGGGUUGCACUUAAUUGCUACUCGCAUGCCAUGGCGUAUGGCGUGACAAAGGGUGGUAUUAUCGAUUGCGAAGCGUAAUAUCAUUGAGUAUUCGCGAUGUAAAGAAUUUAUUAUUUAUCGCAUCCAUGUAGUUAUAAAGUAUCUAUUUAUUAAAGCUACUCAAGUUUUCUUUUCUUAGAAAAUGCCGCCUAAAAGAAAACGACGCCAAUACAUUGCCGAAUUUCGGCACUUUAAAAGAACUUCUGUUCAACAUAUUAACGGGACUGCAACAAGCACGACUCCUAAAGCAGCAGAUAUUAAUUCAAAUAGUGCUUGUAAUGAAGCAGAUCAUACAUAUGACGUACCAAUAGACUGUCCUAACUUUACUGCUCGUCUGGCACGGUGGUUUUUAACGAAUAAUGUUAGCCGACAGGGUGCGAACGAUUUGCUUGCACUACUGUCAGAGAAAAUUUCUGAUUUGCCACGUGAUGUGCGCACGCUUAAAUGUACACCACGGACGAUUGCUAAAAGACACGUACAACCAGGAGAGUACGUUCACUAUGGAGUGAAAGACGCACUUACGGACUUUUUGCGAAAUUUUCAAUUUGACCGUUCAGACAUUUCACUUAACAUUAAUAUAGAUGGUCUCCCUUUAUUUAAAAGUUCCCGUAAGCAAGUUUGGCCCAUUCUAAUAAAUGUGCUUGAUACUAAGCCCGUUUUGGUUGCGGGGAUUUAUGCCGGCUGCUCUAAACCGCAGGAUCCCAAUAUUUUUUUAAAAGAGUUCGUUGAAAAAUUGCAAGAGUUAUUAGGCAAUGGAAUUUCUUACGAGGAAAAAUAUUUUAGUGUAAAAAUAAGAUCGUUCAUUUGUGAUGCCCCAGCCCGCGCUUUUAUUUUAGGAGUUAAGCAUCACUCUGGUUACUUUUCUUGCAAUAAAUGCAUUCAAAAAGGCGAGUCUUUUCAACGGCGUCUUAUAUUUAAAAACUCGGAUGCCUUACCCCGCACCAACGAAAGUUUUAGAACCCGUUUACAACCAGAACAUCAUAAUAUUACAAGCGAAUUGAUUCUAGAAAAAUUGCCACUUGACAUGGUUUUGCAAUUCCCUUUUGAUUAUAUGCAUGUUGUGUGUCUGGGAGUAGUUAAAACGCUUUUGGUCGCUUUGACAAGAACAAGAGGUCACCCAUUUUCACUAAGUAAAGAAUCAAUUAGUUUGGUUAGUUGUAAGCUACAUUCAAUACGAAAAUUUGUGCCAAAAGAAUUUAACCAAUUGCCUAGACCCCUUGACGAGCUUGAAAGAUAUAAAGCUACUGAGUUUCGGUCUUUUCUUCUAUACACUGGGCCAAUAGUUUUGAGAAGCAUUUUAGACAUUGAGAGGUACAAUCAUUUCUUGCAUCUGAGCUUGGCGAUGAGGCUUCUUCUUCACAAUGAAUAUUGCAAAACCAAAAAUGCACUUGCAAAUAGUUUAUUAAACAACUUUGUGAAGGACGUUUCCUCUUUAUACUCUGGGACGAUGUUAACAUAUCAUUUUCAUUGCUUAACCCAUCUCAGUAUCCAAUCAAGGAUUUUUAGCUCUCUUGAAACCAUAAGUGCUUUUCCUUUUGAAAAUUUCUUGGGACAACUCAAAAAUAUGGUAAAAAAAGUGAUAACGUAUUAGAGCAGCUUUAUAACCGCAUAGUUGAGCGAAGUUUAUUUGAUGUUGUGCACAAAUAAUGUAAACUAAAUUCAGACGUUUCCCGAAAAAAUAUUGUCUAUAAGAACUUUUACUUUGACUUGAAAGGUACUAAUUCAUUUUAUUUUGUUAUAGACCAUUCCGUUUACAAAAUAUACAAAAUUUUUGAAAUAGACAAUAAUACUUUAUUUAGCGACUUAGAUCCUUUUUUUAGUUAUCCUAUAGACUCGACCUUGGUGGGUAUUUUUUCUUCUAAAAGUUUCGAAAUAGACUCUGAAAUAAUUAAACACCCAGUAGAUAAAAUAUCUGGGAAAGUUUGUCAUAUUAUUGACCAAAUACAUAUUUAUAUGCCAUUGAUACAUUAUUAGGUUAAAAUAGCACAUCAAUAUACCGACCUUUUCAAUAUGGACGAUGGAACAAUUUACACACAAAGACCUCCACAUAACAGCAAUUUAUAUAACAACAACAAUGAAAAACAAUUAACAGAGAUUCUUAAACUUUUGCAGGACGUCUAUGGAAAAGUUAAUGAAUUAACAACAAAAGUCGAUCGAUCCAAUAUGGAAACGAUUUCUGUAAGGAACGAGGUUACUUCCAUAAAAGCAAAAGUUUACGGAGAAAUAUCCAUUGAGCGUGAAAUAGUUCCUCGCUCUCCUUUCUCAACUUUAGAAGAAAUUAAUAACCUUGAAGAAAAACUUAAGAACGAAGAAGUAUUUAAAAAAUUUGUGAGUGCAGUUUUUAUGUAUUUUCCUAAAAGAAUCGGCCCUAUCGCGAAUUUCACAUGAACAAAUAUUCCCAAAAAUUAAAAAGUAAAACAAAAACAUUUUUCCCAAUUUGUUUUUGUUUUGCAUGUUAAAUUAUGGGAACGAUUUAUUCACAAGAAAUUGGCGAUAGGGCUGAAUGUUUCAUUUCUCAAUACAAUUUACUACAAGCAGACACUUUAUUUAAUUUUGAAUUUCCAAUGUUUGCAUUAAUAUAUAUUUGUUUUCAUAUACCUAUAUUUGUAUUCAGGUUUAUGAAAUUUGCACCAAUGGAGAGAAGUCGUACGAUAAAUUUAUAAGAAGCUCGUGGCGGUCAUUGUUUGAAGACACGUUAGCGUAGCAGUUUUCGUGGCGAGGGACAGGGCCAAAAAAUGCAUAAGAGGGAUGAAUUUGACGUUGGCAAUUCGAAGUAAGUCGAACAGCUGUAUCGAAUAGUCAUUUCAUUUAUUUUAACUUUUUAUUCAGAUGCGUUUACAAAAAAGUUUGCGUUGGAGGACAGCGAAUUUGAGAAAAUAAGUAAAAAAAUUUUUUCAGUACGCACACGACCGAGUCUGC